CGGAGUAUAGCGCGCGCCCCUGCUUUGGGAGCAGGCUGUCGUGGGUUCAAAUCCCUCUACUCCGA
rnacentral:tRNA from 2 species